rnacentral:rRNA from 1 species
AUGGCGACGGUGAGGAGGGUGGCAGGCUUGUCGCUCCUCGGGCGGGAGAUCAAGGCCGGCGAUGAUGGAUUCGUGGGCGCGCCCGAGGCGGCUGUCACGACGCCGGAGCCGGGGGGGCCGUCGGCCACGGCGGCCAGGAUCACGCCGGCCGUGCUCUUCAUCACGGUCGUGCUGGCCGUGGUGCUGCUCGUCUGCGGGUUGAUGCACAUCUUGCGCCGGCUCUUCCUCAAGAGCCACCGCGCCAAUGCCCGGGCGGAGGCCGUCGAGCGGCAGCUGCAGCAGCUGUUCCACCUGCACGAGGACGGCGCCGGGCCCGGCCUCGACCAGGCCGCCAUCGACGCGCUGCCGGCGUUCGCCUACGCCGAGCUCUCCGGCAGCUCCGGCGCUAAGGGGCAGCGCCAGUUCGACUGCGCCGUCUGCCUCAGCGAGUUCGCCGCCGACGACCGCCUCCGCCUGCUCCCGCUCUGCGGCCACGCGUUCCACGUCGCCUGCAUCGACACCUGGCUCCGCUCCAGCUCCACCUGCCCGCUCUGCCGCACCGUGCUGUCGGUUCGCGCGCCCUCCGCCGUCCCGGCGGCCGCGGACGCCGCCGGCGAGCCGGACAUCAAGGAGCAGAAGCAGGAGCAGGAGGACGCGUCAAAGGAGGUCGUCGUCGCAAGCACCGUCGUGCUUCCGGUCAGGCUCGGCCGGUUCAAGAACGUCCAGGGCAACAACAACACCGCCGUCGACGUCGAGGCGGGCACCAGCAGCCGCCUCGACGCGAGGAGGUGCUUCUCCAUGGGCUCCUCCUACCAGUACGUGCUCGCCGAAGACAACCUGGUGGUGUCCGUGCACUGGCGUCCCGGCGACGGCAGCGCGGCCAUGCGCCCCGGCGUGACCACGGCGAGCAGUGACCAGCAGGGCAAGAAGGUCUGCGCCGCCAGCCGCGGCGACAGCUUCUCGGUGUCCAAGAUCUGGCAGUGGGGCCGCAGCGGCAGGAGGCUCCCCGUGCUCCCUGCCGGCUCGUCGUCCCCGACAGAUCAGGACCUCCCGUGGGCGUCGCCGGCGAGCGCGCGCAGCACGAGGCAAGAAACCGACACCUGA